CGCGGCGAGCCGGGCGGUCCCGGGCUCCGGUUCAUACCCAGGAGCGCAUGCGGGUUCGACUCCCGCCGUCGCGU
rnacentral:tRNA from 1 species